GGAAGGGUGGCAGAGUGGUCGAUUGCACCGGUCUUGAAAACCGGCAACGUGGCAACACGUUCGAGGGUUCGAAUCCCUCCCCUUCCGC
rnacentral:tRNA from 1 species